UACGUAGGGUGCGAGCGUUUGUCCGGAAUUAUUGGGCGUAAAGAGCUUGUAGGCGGUUUGUCGCGUCUGCUGUGAAAAUCCGGGGCUCAACCCCGGACUUGCAGUGGGUACGGGCAGACUAGAGUGUGGUAGGGGAGACUGGAAUUCCUGGUGUAGCGGUGAAAUGCGCAGAUAUCAGGAGGAACACCGAUGGCGAAGGCAGGUCUCUGGGCCACUACUGACGCUGAGAAGCGAAAGCGUGGGUAGCAAACAGG
rnacentral:rRNA from 1 species